UGAGGAAUAUUGGGCAAUGCCCGCAAGGGUGACCCAGCAACGCCGCGUGGAGGAUGAAUGUCGUAAGAUUGUAAACUCCUGUUAGAGGGGACGAAUAGUACCGGUUGGACUGGUAUAUGACUGUACCCUCAGAGAAAGCCCCGGCUAACUACGUGCCAGCAGCCGCGGUAAUACGUAGGGGGCAAGCAUUGUCCGGAUUUACUGGGUGUAAAGGGCGCGCAGGCGGGAUAAAAAGUCAGUGGUGAAAUCCUAC
rnacentral:rRNA from 1 species